UGGCGUUUUCCCUGUAGCGACGCCCUCUAGCGGUCAUCUGCCAGCAGCUGCUUUGCGCAUGACCGUUCUACUCCGGUCCUCUCUCGCAUCCUUCAGUCUCCAUCACUCCAGCCUCCCGCCAGGUCGCGGCACUGCCAGUGAGGAGACGAUGCUGAGAGGACGACUAGUGACGUCAUGAUCUGACGUCCAUGGACCGGUCCCUCAACACCGUAGAGCUCCAAGAGCUGCGCAGCACCGGCGGGGGCUUCCAGAAUGCUUCGUACCAGCCGGACCAUGAGGCGCUUCACCAGCAGGGGGCGACCAGCUGCCCUCCCUCCACCUCAGGAAGCUGCAAGGAGCUCGCUCCUCGCUCGUGCGACGAGGAGGCCGGCCACGUCGAAGAUCAGGAGCCGACCGAGUUCUGUCGCCAUGACAACCGUUCCGGUGACUCGGGCUUCCUGGUGGCCCUGGUGCUGCUGCUGAGCGGCAUCGUUCUGGUGGUGAUCGCCUACACUGUCCCGCGGGAGGCCAAAGUGGACCCGGACUCGGUGUCGGCCCGCCAGAUGGAGCAGCUGGAGAUGUACUACGCCCAGCUGGGCUCCCACCUGGACAAGUGCAUCAUCGCUGGCCUGGGCCUGCUCACGCUGGGCGGGAUGUUCCUCUCCGUGCUCCUCAUGGCGUCCGUCUGUCGGGGACAUGUGUACCACCGCCAUGCCGCCUUUGUGCGACCCAAGAGGACGUACGGCUCCAUCAACCUGAGGAUGAAGCAGCUGGCCACGGGGGAGGACGCGGAGGCGACGGCCACGGGGGAGGAGUUUCCUCAUGACAUCCCGUCUGGGCCCCCAGAACGGGGAGAUGUCGGCGAGUGAGACCACUGCUGAGGGGCUUUGCAAGGCCGCGGAGGAUGCUAAACAAAGCACAAUCGAGAUUUGCUUCCUCAUCGGCUGCGAGGCUGAGCCGUCCUGUCACGGUGCAUCAUCACUUCCUGUGCAGGUAAUGACCUUCACCAGCAAUACAGAGACAAGAAAGGACAACCGCUGAGAAGAUGAGCCAGCAUGUGAGUUAGCUGCUCGAGUGAAGGAAGUAACCUUUAAGUACACGCAGCAUACUUUAUGACAUUGAUAUGUAAACGUGUCGUUCAUGUCUGAGUACAUUAAGCCUUAAUAACGAGUAAACACACUGUAACGUGUCUUCAUUAACUAAAUGUUUGUGUAUAGAGCUGCGUAGGCAAGAGUAAUGUAACCACGCACACACACACCCACACACACACACACACGCAUUUUUACUGGUGGAUGUUGUUAAUUCAAGUCAAACAGUCGUUAAAUAGAGGAGUUGGAGUGCUAAGAAUGUCUAAAACUGACCAUUUCCUGUAUCCAUGUAGCCCGCUCAGUGUUGCCAGAUGAGAAAUUAUCCUACCAGAAACGUUAAAUGAUCCAAUUUUGGGCAAAAUUGAUGUCGAUCAGGACCAUCUGCUAAAGUAAAAUGUACUUUAGUACAAACAGUGUAUAGUAUAGAUUAUAAUGCAGUUCUACCUUUUAAAUAUACUGUUAAAAAACAAAACAAAAACACUGACAAAACAGCGCCCCCGUCAGGCCGUAAAAUGUCACAUGAGACUGCACAACAUGAGGUGCAGUGAAGGAUGAACAUUGGUUGUGUUUGAUAAUACUUGUAGCACGCAAUAAAUAUGAAGUGGUGAAAUUAUCCUACAUUGUUUUUUUUUAAUUAUUGAUUGUACAGUGGGUGAAAUUAUCGUACAUAUACAAUAAUGAUUGAACAUCUGGCAACGCUGAUACCGCUGCCGUCUCCCACCCAUGAUGCAUUGCAGCUAAAAAGACAAGAUGGUUUAAAAGUUAUUUUGAAGAAAUCUUUUUGUGAGAAUCAUUGUAGAAUCUCACUAACAUGUUGAUGUGUUGCAUUGGUUGGUGAGGAGCAAGCGGUAGCAGGCCAGCUGAGCAUGCUAACAGAUAGACGCGUGAUGGCGGCCAUCUGGGGUUGGCAGUUGUCAUGUGACAGGAUAUGGACUCCCCCAAAAUGGCAGUGUGUCAGCAGAAUCGCUCUAUUUAUAGAGCACCUCCUCUCACAUGUCACACAAAGACCUUGUGAGGUCCCAGACAGAGGACGACAUCCCAGUGGACAGCCAUGCAGGUCUAAGGUCAAGAGCAGAGUCUCAUCCAUCAUGCUGCAGCUUCUGGUAGAAGCUUGAAAUAUGACUUAACUUUUGGGCGGGCUGAUGUCAUGUACUCACCACCUUGUUGCAAGGUUACCAACACAAAGUAAUCUAUUACUCUGGAUGUGUGUUGCUCGCAUGAAUGUUAGAAGCAUCACAGCUGCGACAACUUUUUUUAUUUAUUCUAAAUCUAAAACAGACAUUAAAAAAAAAAAUCCAAAGCAGACAGAGCUCUUUUUUUCAGAAUAAAUGACAAUUUCGUUAAGUUCAAACGUGGUUGAAGAAGCGAAACAAAGUGUUGCAGCGUUGCCAUGUUUUCAUCACAAAUCCUCUCUGAAGCUGAAGAUGACAAUCAGUCCAUGAGGAGAAGCGCUCUGAUUGGCUAGCGGACAGGAAGCAGUGAGUGGCACACUGGAAACGGCAGGGGGCACUACAUAAACAUGUCAUCAUAGCCUGG